UGAAGAGUUUGAUCAUGGCUCAGAUUGAACGCUGGCGGCAGGCCUAACACAUGCAAGUCGAACGGUAACAGGAAAGAGCUUGCUUUUUUGCUGACGAGUGGCGCACGGGUGCGUAACGCGUAUACAAUCUACCUUUUACAGGGGGAUAGCCUUUAGAAAUGAAGAAUAAUACCCCAUAGUAAGUCAUUAUGGCAUCAUAGUGAUUUUAAAGUUUCGGCGGUAAAAGAUGAGUAUGCGUUCUAUUAGCUAGAUGGUGUGGUAACGGCACACCAUGGCGACGAUAGAUAGGGGCCCUGAGAGGGGGAUCCCCCACACUGGUACUGAGACACGGACCAGACUCCUACGGGAGGCAGCAGUGAGGAAUAUUGGACAAUGGGCGAAAGCCUGAUCCAGCCAUGCCGCGUGCAGGAAGACUGCCCUAUGGGUUGUAAACUGCUUUUAUAUAGGAAGAAACCUAUCCACGUGUGGAUAGCUGACGGUACUAUAAGAAUAAGGAUCGGCUAACUCCGUGCCAGCAGCCGCGGUAAUACGGAGGAUCCAAGCGUUAUCCGGAAUCAUUGGGUUUAAAGGGUCCGUAGGUGGAUAAUUAAGUCAGAGGUGAAAUCCUGCAGCUCAACUGUAGAAUUGCCUUUGAUACUGGUUAUCUUGAAUUAUUGUGAAGUGGUUAGAAUAUGUAGUGUAGCGGUGAAAUGCAUAGAUAUUACAUAGAAUACCAAUUGCGAAGGCAGAUCACUAACAAUAUAUUGACACUGAUGGACGAAAGCGUGGGGAGCGAACAGGAUUAGAUACCCUGGUAGUCCACGCCGUAAACGAUGGUCACUAGCUGUUCGAACUUCGGUUUGAGUGGCUAAGAGAAAUUGAUAAGUGACCCACCUGGGGAGUACGUUCGCAAGAAUGAAACUCAAAGGAAUUGACGGGGGCCCGCACAAGCGGUGGAGCAUGUGGUUUAAUUCGAUG
rnacentral:rRNA from 1 species